rnacentral:rRNA from 1 species
AGGGAAACCGAGUCUUAACUGGGCGUUAAGUUGCAGGGUAUAGACCCGAAACCCGGUGAUCUAGCCAUGGGCAGGUUGAAGGUUGGGUAACACUAACUGGAGGACCGAACCGACUAAUGUUGAAAAAUUAGCGGAUGACCUGUGGCUGGGGGUGAAAGGCCAAUCAAACCGGGAGAUAGCUGGUUCUCCCCGAAAGCUAUUUAGGUAGCGCCUCGUGAACUCAUCUUCGGGGGUAGAGCACUGUUUCGGCUAGGGGGUCAUCCCGACUUACCAACCCGAUGCAAACUGCGAAUACCGAAGAAUGUUAUCACGGGAGACACACGGCGGGUGCUAACGUCCGUCGUGAAGAGGGAAACAACCCAGACCGCCAGCUAAGGUCCCAAAGUCACAGUUAAGUGGGAAACGAUGUGGGAAGGCUCAGACAGCCAGGAUGUUGGCUUAGAAGCAGCCAUCAUUUAAAGAAAGCGUAAUAGCUCACUGGUCGAGUCGGCCUGCGCGGAAGAUGUAACGGGGCUAAACUGUGCACCGAAGCUGCGGCAGCGACGCUUAUGCGUUGUUGGGUAGGGGAGCGUUCUGUAAGCCUGCGAAGGUGUCCUGUGAGGGAUGCUGGAGGUAUCAGAAGUGCGAAUGCUGACAUAAGUAACGAUAAUGCGGGUGAAAAGCCCGCUCGCCGGAAGACCAAGGGUUCCUGUCCAACGUUAAUCGGGGCAGGGUGAGUCGACCCCUAAGGCGAGGCCGAAAGGCGUAGUCGAUGGGAAACGGGUUAAUAUUCCCGUACUUGGUGUUACUGCGAAGGGGGGACGGAGAAGGCUAUGUUGGCCGGGCGACGGUUGUCCCGGUUUAAGCGUGUAGGCUGGUUUUCCAGGCAAAUCCGGAAAAUCAAG